CUUACACAUGUCGCACACACACAUACUCAUACCGCUCACAUUUACACAUGUCCCACACACACUCAUACUGCAAACACACAUGUAUUUACAUGUGGAAAAACAUAUUGAGUCUGACUUAUCUCACCAAACAUUCUGGUUGGUCUCGGGUUUCAUCCACCUUCCCCUGGGAUGAUAGGAUUUACUAUUUCUUUGCGUUAUUCAUGCACUCCGAGUUCUCCCCAACCACCCAUCUGGCUGCUGUGAACAGGGUUAGCCUUGAUGUGACCUGCACUUCCCAUGGCUGGGGGAAACCUGCCGAGGAGGCACUUCUUGAGGAGGCUCCUGCUGUCCUAACCCCUCUCUGCUGUGACAAACGUCAAGAAGUGAGCUGGGCGGUUUCUUUCUCUUUGCGGGUGCCUGUGAAGGGUAAAAGCGGAAGCUGAGGAUUGGGGGGAACCCUCUUCCUGAGAACCCAGACCCCUGCAGGGUUCCUAAAGGUUGUGAGAACUGCCAAGGCCGAGGGCUGGUAAGACCCUGGAUGGAUACACCUCAUGAUGCAGGUGGCGUGCACUAAACCCAAAUCCUGUGGCCUCCGCUUUGGCAGAAGCAGAGACCAUCAAGUCAAGAGUUAUGAGAAUGUGGACCGGUGUUACCUUACUCAGGGAACAAACGAGACCCCUCCUUAGACACUUCCCUCUGCAGAAAGUCUCACAGGCUUUGCCAGAAGGAGUGACCCUAUUAGGCAUCCAAGGGCACCUUCAUGUUGAAUGAAGCACUUGCAAGGUAAGCCUCUUGUAAUGGUAAAACCUCUUGAGUGUCCUUGAGCCUGGAGCCUCAAGUUCGAGUCCUAGUGGGGGCUUCUCCAAACGUCAGAGAAAGUGCUAGAAAACGUAAAUAAGGGAUCCACAAGAGCAUAGGACUCGAAAGUAGACCAGAACCUCCUUUCUCAGUCAUGGAGGAGCUGGGAGCUUGGCUCCGAUCCAGUCACCUUACAGGAGCACUACAAGAUUGAUCUUGGAGGGACCCUGGUCUCUUGGGUUACAAGAGCCAAACAUUAUUGACAGCUUUAGGCUAAGAGAUGAAAGAGCACUAUGGGCUUUCAGACUGCCCAGGCUUGGAUUCUGUCCCUGUUUAUUAACUGUCUGACCAUAAAUGAAAUUUUAAUCUGUCCCUUUCUCCCUUCUUCUUCCUUUCUCUCACCCCCAUCCCUCCACCCCAUCAUCCUCCCUCCUUUACUUCCUUCUUUCCUUGCCUCAGUUUCCUUAUCUGCUAAUCAGUUUUAUCAUGAGUCUGUAACACAGUAGGCCCGUUGCCACAAUCACUGCACAAGCUCCCAUCAAGUCUCCCCACGGUAUGAUUAAUAUCAGCAAACAUUAGCCGCAACUAUUCUGCUUGCCAUUAUUUUCAAUAUGCCUGCCCCCCCUUCCCCCCGCCGACCUCCUCUCUCUAGACCUAGAGGCAAUACGAAAAGAUCCAAGGGAACCAAUCUGAAGUCAUGUAACCAGGGUGCAAAAUGUUCAUUGUCCGACGUGACUACGGUCUUCUGUUCUCUCUGAGCUCGCCUUCCCAGUGGCUUGUCACGGUCCCAACUCACUGGCCCUCUGGUUCACUUUGGCCGCUGGCACCAUCAUGGCUGAAGCUCACUGCCUUCCUCUUUUCUUUGCAGUGAAGUUCCCCAGCAGGGCCGACCUCUCUAGUAAUGGGACGGGAUCAAGGUAGCAUUCUUCCAUAUUCACCGACCCAGAGACCAACCGUAGAAGCCACUACCUCUCUCAAGAGAGAUGUGCCUGGGAGGUGUACCGCAUGCUCCGAGCAGACCAGAAAUGCGAAGGGUCUGCCUUUGGUGCAGAGAUUCCCAUCUGACAUACGGCCGUACCACCAUGAACGCACACUGGAUCUCGUCUGAUCUCUGGAGCUAAGCAGGGUCGGCCCUGCAGGAUAAACUCAGCUGUGACUGUUUGGAAAGUUUGGGAGUCAUCCAGUGCGCACCAUGCAGCUCUGGCAUAAGCCUCAUUUCUCCUCCGAGUAUCCUUUUGAGUCUGCCUGUCUGGAGGACUGCAAGAGCAGAGCCCGGGUUGAAUCUGCUGUUCUAACUGGACCUCGCCCUGCUUGGCAAGUGCCUCGCGGGACCCCCCCUUAAACGCCUGGGCAUGCAUGAUCUCUGAGUGUCAGUUAGCUCACCUCACUGUGAGAGGGGCCUAUCCCGUGCAUCUGUCAGUAAAUUAAUAAGAGGAAGCACAAACACAUAGAACCUCCUCCCCUUGCUCGUGGACACAGGGUGGAGGCCCCUCCAGGCUGCCCACACUCUGGCUCUCAUUGCCUUCUGAGACUGUUGAUUGACAAGAGCUACGAGGUGCUCGUCUGAGCUGAGUCAAGUUUAAGAAAGCUGCAGUUUAGGAUGUCAGCUGGGGGGGGGGGGUUCACUGUCCUGUCUAAAAAAACAGUAAGAAAGGAAAAACAUAUUAAAAGGCUUGGUGGUUUAUGUUAAAAUUGUUGAACUGAAGCCAUGAGACAGACAUUGUCUAGCGAGCAGACUUUUCGGGUCUGCCUUAAAUUACACAACCUAAUUCCCCGAAAAAUAAGCCCAGAUUUGGGAUUUUACCUACCCCCCCAUGGUCUUUCUCUCACUCUGCUCCUCCUUAAUGCUUGCUCCAUCUUUGUCGAAAUACAAACUCAAAGGAAAGGUUAUAUACGACUUGGAUGAGGCAAUUGAGAGGGAUCCUGCCUUUUUGAAAUGUGCAUUUAAAUAUCUGUGUAAUUUGUCUGAGUAUGAGGUUCUGUGGACAGGGUUCAGCUCAGUUCGGGCAGCGGCAGAAUACAUCAAAGGCAGAGACCACACCACCAGCUCCAUUAGUCUGUUUUGUGUUACUGUAACAAAAUACCCGAGGCAGGUUACUCUUAAAGCUUUGGAGGCGAGAGCUCAAGAAAACAAGAUUCAGGCUUGUGUCACCUCGUGGAAAGCGCCUGUGACAUCGGCUCUACAGAAUCACAGAGGGAACCUCAUGCAUCUGCAGAAGCUCUGUCCCCUCCGAGUGAGACCAGCUGGUGACUCUUCCAGGGGUCUUCAGGACCCUAGGCUUCAGACUGCUUCUUAGUAACUUUCACCCCUCAUUACUGUUACUACCCUUGUAACUGAGUAGAUUAUUUCACGGCCAAGAGCAUUCCUUGUGCCUGAAAAGGAUGAACUUUUUCCACAGUUUCCUGUGGUGUGAUCCCGGGGUGAAAACUAUCUGCCUGUGUUGGUGUGUACAGCUUUUGUCGGAUGACUCUGAAGGUCACACUUUGAGAUCCGCCUGUUUAGCGUGUGUUCCUUAAAAUGUGUCUCUGCACAAAGGGCAUGCUUCAUGACGACACUCGCUUACACACACAUAAAGUAUUCCAAUCAGAGCGGCCUCUGUCACUCUUUCUCGUCCAA